ACCUUAGCUAUUAUUUGUAUGAAUCUAACAUAAACUAAUACAUUUUGAUGCUUAAUCGACACAUCUACAGCACCAUCACCUUACCUGGGGACCUCAGGCUAUUAUGUUCAUAAACAUAAUAGCGAAUAGAGAUUCGGCGGAAUGACAGGCUGAGCGCCGCCCAGUAACCAUCACCAAGCUUACUCAAACUUCUACUGUUCCUUUUGCUAGGCUUACAGUUUAUAGUCGGCUUCUUAAUCUUUCUUUCCAAAUUAAGUAAUUAGCUGUUUGAAUUGCCAUUUGAAUUCCAUCGGCGACCGAGAGCAUUUCAAAUCGCAGCUCACCCAGUUCAUGCUAUUUCUUCCGGAUACACCGCCCAACAGGGGCUACACUCCUCAAAACUCAAACUCGCUGCUUUGCUGGAGGAAUGACAGAGAGAUCUCCUCUCUGUGGGGUGGUCACACAAUGUGAUGGCCCUGUCAAAGCUUAACGAAUCUCAACCUAGGUGACAUACUCAUAGGCACAAAAUUAAUGUUUGAGUGACAGUCUAGUGCCGCGAAAGUGUCUCUUCAACAGCCGCGAAAUUGUAAAAGAGAGCAAGUUUCAUCCUUCCUCUGACUUUGAAGUUGUUGGAACCAACUGCAACAAGCACAUGAAGCACAACUAUCAACCAUAUGAGUAACAGAUGCUGUCGCAUUUUAAAAUUCUACUUCUGUUUGAUGCAAUGGGAGAAGUUAAAGUUGACCCGAGCAGUGAUUCCAUACCGAAUCGUUCUGAGGCAGAUACAAGAUGAUUGACAUUUGACAAGGAAGUCUAUCACUAUAAGUAUAGCUGUGAAGCUUGUCAGUUGUCGACAACUAUAAAUCGGCCGAAACUGAAACAGCUGUAAUCAGACACUAAAGAAAACUGAAACUGAAACUUUUAUGAUGACUAACUGGCCGCAACAAACCAAGAUCGCUGUUUGCUGUUACUUUAAUGUAAUACUAAGUGAAUUGGUCUAUAAGUGUAGAUGAAAGAUAAAAUAUUUGAAAGAAGCUCUAUCCUCUUAAUUUUAUUUUAUGUUUUAGAUUUAAAGUUAGUCUUAAAAGCUUACUCUGAAUUUUUGUUUUGAUUAGCUUUCGCUGCUUAGUGGAACACUUUAAAAUAAUUUCUCUCAUAAUUUGUCUGUAAAUAUAACCUAAAAUAAAAGUGUGGUAUGGGCCCGUAUGUGUUAACUUUGUUGCAACGUUUUCAUUUGUAUGAUUUAUAGAAAUUUUAAGCUUCACCAAGUGUUUUU